rnacentral:lncRNA from 1 species
AAAGGCCUUAUCUGGGACUGCUCUUUCUCCUCUUUUGUCCAAGUUGAUAGUGGUUUCCCCCCUUCAACUUGAGGGGGGGUGUUGAGAUAUAUGUAGGCGAUGAUGAUUAACCCCAACUUAGACCAUUAAGGGUCAAUAAGGGAGUCAUAUCUGAGUCUAAUAGGCUACUUAGGCUACUUGUGUAAUUAGGCUAUCUUUGUAAUUAGUAUAUUUCUGUAAUUAGGUUAUUUGUGUAAUUAGGCUGUUUCNNNNNNN